CAGUCGCCGCGGUAAUACGAAGGGUGCAAGCGUUAAUCGGAAUUACUGGGCGUAAAGCGUGCGUAGGCGGUUUGUUAAGUCUGUUGUGAAAUCCCCGGGCUCAACCUGGGAAUGGCAAUGGAUACUGGCAAGCUAGAGUGUGUCAGAGGAUGGUGGAAUUCCCGGUGUAGCGGUGAAAUGCGUAGAGAUCGGGAGGAACAUCAGUGGCGAAGGCGGCCAUCUGGGACAACACUGACGCUGAGGCACGAAAGCGUGGGGAGCAAACAGGAUUAGAGACCCGCGUAGUCCCUGUCUCUUAUAC
rnacentral:rRNA from 1 species